AGGUUGAGGUGCAUUUGUUCUCUACUUUACUUCAUGAACAGGCAAUGUUGAGCACAAAGGAUAGGUCUGCUUUCUAAAUAAGGGGAUCCACUUCUGGCUCCAAGAUCGAUGCUGAGUGGAGGAAAAUGUAACCAAAAAACAGGACCUGGAAGUUGGUCAUGUCACUUUUACUCACAGCCUAAACUUUUCAUGACAGACUGAGCUGCAAAAGAGGCUUUUUGUUUAAAUAAACUUGCCAAUUUGGCUGGUUGGCUGGCCAGCCAGCAAGCUUUGGGUUCUGCCUACUUCUGUUACCCAAUGCUGAAGCACAGGCACAAGCAGCCAUGCUUGGCAUUGAACUCAGGCUUUCACGUUCAUAAGGCCAGUGCUCUUACCCACUGAGCUAUCUCUCCAAGCUCUAAUUAUUACACUUUUACAUUGAUAUUAUUCAAUAAUGUUUAUAUUAUUAUAACAUAUUGCAAGUAUUCUACACUCAACUAAAACACUACAGUGUGGUACACUUCUGCUCAAUUUUUCAUGAACUGUACACAGCUCAUAAACAGCCUGGCCAGAGGAAA
rnacentral:lncRNA from 1 species